rnacentral:rRNA from 1 species
AAAUGAAUUGACGGGGGCCCGCACAAGCAGUGGAUUAUGUGGUUUAAUUCGAAGCAACGCGAAGAACCUUACCAGGUCUUGACAUCUCCUGCAUAUCUAAGAGAUUAGAGAAGUCCUUCGGGACAGGAAGACAGGUGGUGCAUGGUUGUCGUCAGCUCGUGUCGUGAGAUGUUGGGUUAAGUCCCGCAACGAGCGCAACCCUUGCCAUUAGUUGCUACGCAAGAGCACUCUAAUGGGACCGCUACCGACAAGGUGGAGGAAGGUGGGGAUGACGUCAAAUCAUCAUGCCCCUUAUGAUCUGGGCUACACACGUAAUACAAUGGUCGUUAACAGAGGGUAGCAACACCGCGAGGUCAAGCCAACCCCUAAAAACGAUCUCAGUUCGGAUUGCAGGCUGAAACUCGCCUGUAUGAAGUUGGAAUUGCUAGUAAUCGCGGAUCAGCAUGCCGCGGUGAAUACGUUCCCGGGCCUUGUACACACCGCCCGU